rnacentral:sRNA from 1 species
GCGUCCGCACCGUGGAAUGCCCCCUGCUUCCCGCGCAGCCUGCGGCUACGCUUGCGGCGUACGCCCUCUCCAGGAGGGCGUAAAGCCGACAGCCGUCGCACACCCGGGAGCACACCCAUG